AUUUCCAAAGCCAUGGUGAAACAUCUCUGUGCUAAUUUCUUUUGUUUUGUUUCCUAAUUUUUUUUUUUUGGCAGGUGGUGGGAAAUAAUCUUUGUCUUCUUUGGAGUAAACCUUCAACACCGGAUUUUUUCUUUUAAUUAUGGAUGUAAACCCCAAUAUCCCCAUAAUUUACAUUGGGUCUCGACCAAUUGCCUAAUUAUAAGAGGAUAUAUUUAGGCUCUUAUUUCAUCCACACAAAAACUUGUGUAACAGGUAGUUGGAAACAUCUGAGGCACCACUUUGAUUCUGUUUUGGAUGGUCAUGUUUUUUCUCCUCCGUUUCCCCAGCAUGUCUGCCACCAUCCUCAUGCACUGCUUCCAAGUGCCUGGGAGCCUUUAUGAGCGUCCCUAAACCUAAAAGAAUCCAGAGGCGGGGCUCGGAUGAACCCUCGAGAUAAGCAAGAUGGAGAGCAAUACAUCAUCAUCUUUGGAGAAUUUAGCGACGGCGCCUGUGAACCAGAUCCAAGAAACAAUUUCUGAUAAUUGUGUGGUGAUUUUCUCAAAAACAUCCUGUUCUUACUGUACAAUGGCAAAAAAGCUUUUCCAUGACAUGAAUGUUAACUAUAAAGUGGUGGAACUGGACCUGCUUGAAUAUGGAAACCAGUUCCAAGAUGCUCUUUACAAAAUGACUGGUGAAAGAACUGUUCCAAGAAUAUUUGUCAAUGGUACUUUUAUUGGAGGUGCAACUGACACUCAUAGGCUUCACAAAGAAGGAAAAUUGCUCCCACUAGUUCAU
rnacentral:lncRNA from 1 species